rnacentral:lncRNA from 1 species
UUUUGUUUAUACCGUCGAAUUAACCGGAAGUGCUCCUAAUUUUCUGUCGCAGAUCGACGCUGGACGUCCAGGAGAUGCCAUGGUGCUGGAAGAAGAAAUUGGGUGUUCGUACAACGCGGAAGAUGUCCCGAUAGCAGCACCUGGAGAGAAAGGAACCACGCCUCAGGAGAAAUGGAAUACGGAAAUCAGUUCGUUCGUGUCAGAUGCACUUUGACACGACCCGCAACAUUACCAAGAAGAAGCCAGAACCCAUGAACGUCAUCAUCGUCGUCAUCAUCGUCGUCGUUGUCCUCAGCGACACGCGAAAACCCACCUCGAUGUCAGCGGCUGAUCGAACCGGAAGAAGAAGAUGGCGACGAAGGACGCAACAUAGAAGGGGAAAAAUUGACGAUGCACAUCCAGACACACACACAUAAAAUAAACGCACAUAUUCAGAGGAGGAACGACGACGACUUCCAACAAUCUUGAAAGAAACAUAAACCGAAAACUGAAGUAGGUCAAAAUCUGGAGGAAAAAUUUCUAAGAAGAUACAACAGUCACCGAAGAACAUUACGUCGAUGAAACGCUGCAGCAAAAAUUGUGAAGAGUUAGUUAAAAGUGUACCCAAUUUUAUUUUGUUUCUUUCCCGCGAAACAUUGAUUCGUAAUUGAAGAAAAAAAUCGCUCAUCCGGAAAAAUGUGGCUGGCGAAAAGAACUACUUGGAUCAGCGGUAUUACACGGCUCAUACAAGAUGUCGGAAAAAAAUUGUCUCGCAAAGAAGAAAAAGAAGAAAAAGAAGAAAAAGAAGAAAAAGAAGAAAAGGAAGAAAAAGAACAGGAAGAAAAAAAAGUUUUUAGAAUCGCACUCGAAAACUUUGAACAAAAGAAGAAACCAACCAACUCACAGGUGUCAAAAAUUGGUCAGCCAGCCAGUUCACGGCCCCAGCAAUUAAUACGAUUCGAAAACUUUAAAUUAAUCCAUUUAUGAUUUCGCAUGUAACCAGCAGGAAAAAAUAGCAAACUCAAGAAAUUAUCGUGGUGGAUCAGGCAGGAUUUACUUUUACAAAAUUCUUGCAUUGGAUUCAAAUUUCUACAGCGGUACGAAUUAUAUUGCGAAAGAAACACACGCACUUGAAACACGAUGUACACGAGAUGAUGAUAAAUCUGACGUAUUUAUUUUUUGAGUUUUUCAUCCAACGAGGGAAAUAUGAUUUUAAAUUAUGUGAAAAAAAGAAGAGACGAAAGUUCCGCAUCCAUUGGAUCCAGUUUCACAUUGAAUUUUAUACGCUGAAUUUUACGAAACAAGUUCAUCGCUGCACAGUCCAUUCGGUUCAAUUUAAUUCGAUUCAAUUCAAUUCAAUUCAAUUCAAUUCAAUUUUAAAACUUUAUCAACUUCCCUUAAAGUUCCUUCUCGAAGCAGAAGAAUAGGGGACUCCUUUACAACCGCGAAAAAACAGCUGUCCUUAGAACCGAGCUCGUCACGUCCGGAAUAAAGAGAAAAGAAAAAUCCCGGUUCUAAGCUGACAAAAAAUAGAAUCAAUUUAUGUUUCCUGAUAAUCGAUCACAUCGUUAACAUUAUGAUAAUCCGUAACAUUCAAUCAAAUAUCUGAGGAGGCUCACCAAAACGAAAUAUCAAAAAGCUAAGGACGAUCGCAAUCCCGAGAAAUUCGCAUCGAACAAUUUCUGUACACAAAAUGAAAAUCUAUGGGAAAUUCGAGGCAGCAAAAUCUACGAUGGGAACCACACAAAUCACCGAGAAAUAUUAUAAACGCUUAAAGUGGGAUCAAAAACUAAGUUCCGAAGAAAUAAAAAAGUGUCCGAAUCGCGAAAACGAUUCGAUUCAACCAUCUGAAAAUUCAGUCCCGAAUGAUAUACCAAAUCUCGAGGAUUAUGAAAAACUGGAGUUUUCAACUGUGUAUUAAAAAAACUGACUCAUCUGCAUUUAUACGUAUAUUACAUUGAUACAAAUUAAGAUUAUAUAUUUUCUGCGAUCGUUCGCGACUCACGCGAUCAUUGGAUCAAAUCAAAAAUUUAAAAGCCUUCGACUAAGUUAAAAAAUAAAAAAGGUGCUAAAAAUAAUCAAAAAUAGGAUGAAAAUAUCAAUGACUAAAUAAAAAAAAAGAACUCACCAAAACGAAACACACAUACCAAACGAACAUCGACACACCGUCGCAAGAAGCUCAAAUAAUCACAAGGAUAAAAUAAAACCUAGUUAAAAUCUGAAGUAUCAAAAAAGAAGAAUUUAUAACAAGUAUGCCAAAAAUCAACCCCCUGUGAAAAGUAUAAAACAAAAUUAAUAAUCCACGAUCGACAAAUCAAAGAAGAGAAUCCAGCAUAAUUCUCCAAAAUAAAGAAAAAAAAACAACAUAAAAGCACACAAAAAACAAACAAACAAAAAACGCUGAAAAGCUGCAGUUCCGAAUAUGGAGUUUAAACUUCAAUUCAAAUCGGAGCCGAUCACUUGGGCAUUCUUAUUCACCGAGGGACCUUUUCUUCUCAUCGAAGACAACCAGUGUCACCGUCGAGGGAUCGAACAUCUGACCGAACAAAUAUAACAAAAA